GUGCCAGCCGCCGCGGUAAUACCGGCAGCCCGAGUGAUGGCCGAUCUUAUUGGGCCUAAAGCGUCCGUAGCUGGCUGCGCAAGUCCGUCGGGAAAUCCACUCGCUCAACGAGUGGGCGUCCGACGGAAACUGUUCGGCUUGGGGCCGGAGGACCCGAGGGGUACGUCCGGGGUAGGAGUGAAAUCCUGUAAUCCUGGACGGACCACCGAUGGCGAAAGCACUUCGAGAAAACGGAUCCGACAGUGAGGGACGAAAGCUGGGAUCUCGAACCGGAUUAGAUCCCGAGUAGUCC
rnacentral:rRNA from 1 species